UAAAAGAGCUGAUAGAAGUGCUCCCCACCUCCUUACAGAAGGGGGAGCGUGCAUUCUUGAGAGGUCCUGGCCAAUUGUUGUGGUCGGAUCUGGUGGGAUAGCCUAUCUUUUCAGCUACAAACAAACCAGCCCCAUGAUAACUCUGAGUUGGCAUAGUUAUGCCUCUGGGCAGGGCUAGGCUGUAUCUUGCGGUAUAUGGUCGGGAAGAAUAAAGGUGGUUGUGAAGCAACAAGAGAAGCAGACAGACUGGCCUAAAUGCCAGUCAAGAACUGAAAGCCAGUGGAAGGAAGCAGGAAAGGAGAGUUGAGUUUGCAGCCUAGGUUGGGGGCCUUGGACUUUGAAAAGAAAUCAUUAUGCCUAAUGAGCAGAGGGAGUCUGUUGCAUUGUUUGAAGUAGGAAUGAGAGUCAAGAGUUUGCAUCUAGAUUGAUUGCAUGCCCGGGAUUUUGAGAAGAGAUCUCUUUAUGAAUAGAAUGGAAGGGGACUCUGUCCCAUUGUUUUCUUGUUGGAAGAGGGUGGAAUAUGACUUUUUUACUUUUAAAAAAUACAUAUCUGUAAUAUAUACAGUACAUACGCAUAUAUGAUGUUCUAUGUUUUUAUUGCAUACAUUAAUGUUACUUAUUUUCUUCAUUAAUAGAAUUACCAGGCAUGUUUGAAACCUCCAUCAAAAAGUAAACUGCAAAUGUGUCUCCUGAGAUUGGUAGAGAUUUACACAAUUCUUCAGGAGAUGAAGACUCUUUAGAACCAGAGAAACUGAUACGUACUAUUCCUAACACAGUGGAACAGCUAUAUGGCCAGAGCAUGAUAUGCUGCCCUGCAAAUGAAAUCAUUCAAACCCUAAAGAAGAUCCCUGAAAUUGGAAGUGGUGAAAUAACAAAGAUGCCACUUCAAGAAGUCGAUGUAGACCCCAAAAUAUUAACACCCAAUAUUUCACUUUUGAAAAACACUUGUACAUCAAAGGAAAAUAGAUCAACACCACAUCUUAGCAGAAUUAAAAAAACAGCAGCACUAGAUCAAAAAGUUACAUACGUGGAAGAAAAAUUUGAAAGUGGAAAUGUGGAAGAUCUGACCACCAGGAGACUGAUAAGAACGCCUAAGGAAAGGGAAGAACAUUUAAUAGAAGACGUGAAAGUUGUCAAGAAGUCUGGUAAAACAUCACAGAAAAAAUGUGAUCCAGAAUACUCAAUGAGUAUUGAGAAGUUAUAUGAAAUACCCAAAAUAGAACUAAUAGAAAACACACCAAGCAGCCUAGGGAAACUUAGAGGAGAACCCAAAAAAGUAGAAGAGCUUCCAGGUCAUAGGAAUAUGACAGUUCAUAAGGAAAAGGCAAAAGCAGGAGAAAACUUUUUUAGGAGGUUUUUAGGAGGUUUCAGGAGAGUUUUCAAAACAUCAAAAGUAAAACCAGAAGAUCUAAAGAGAUUCAAACUGAUGGAGAAUGCUAGACCUAAAACUGAUACUGAUGAAAAAACAAAAGUUAGUGAUUCAGUUAGUGAAAUAACAUCUCACACACAAUGAAAUGAAAAGAAGGCACCAAAGGUCUUAAAAGAAAUGAAAUUGAAAAAAAGAAUUGAGAAUAAAGGAAUGAUGGUGUUUCGUUCUAGGAAUAAAAAGGAAAUAUUUCCUAGGCAGUCAGAUAUGACAUUCUGAAAUAGUGAAAAGGAACCUUUUAAGAAUUUUCCAGGUUUGUUAAAGAGUCAAAAGGCAAUACUGCACCCUAGAAACAGAAAUAAACCUAUGGAGCAAGUAAAUUUGAGUUUGAGUGAAAUCAAUGAGUUACACACAGAAAAUGAACAAAAAAGUAUCAAAAAUUUGCAGGGGAAGACCAUUGUGACUGAAGAUGGACUGGCUUCAAGAAAGAGAAGCAAGUUAAAUUUGAAAAAGAAGAUAUGCAUAGAGAGUAAGGAAAAGAUACCACCUAAGAGUUUCACAGUUCAUGAAAAGGUGGAAUGUUUAACAUCUAGCAACAUACUUAAGUCUGCUAAGGAACCACAAGAGCCCAAUUUAGGUUUACCGACUGAACUAUGUAAGACAGAGAAUGAGGAGAAGAAACUUAAAGAUGCAAGUGCCAAUAUAGGGAUGAUGACUUCGAAAACCAGAGGCAAAAAUAAAGUAGAUACAUUGUCCAAGGAAACAAAGAAACUGCACAAGAGCUUCCCGGAGAAGUUUAUGUCAUCAAGAUCACAUAAAAAGGAAACAGAAACUCAAGAGAGGAUAUAUAUGGAGUGUCUAGGGAAGAGUCUCCUGGAGAAGAAUGCAGUGAAAGUCCAUGUCACAGGUCUUGACCAUCUAGAAGUAGGGGCAUUAGAUUACUCCAUGCUGCCAGGGUGGCACCUGAAACAAAGGUAGAAGAGCCAAAGAAGCCUGCGAAAGUUCGUAAGACUGGAUUAAAGUCUAGUGGCAAAAAGAAAAAGAAUAGAGGCCUGAAAGGAUCUAAUGCUGUAUUAACAUCUAGGAACAUAGAAAAGGAUGGCAAAUGCACAGGUAUUUGCCCGGAUAUCUUUCAAAGUUCAUUGGUACCUCAAGGAAUUUUAUGUUUAACUAGAAACAGAAACAAACAACCUCAAGACAUUCAUCGGAUACCUAGUCUAAAAAAGAUCAUUGAAAAGCAGCUUCCAAGCCUGGAAAAUAAAGCCCAGGAUAGAGUGCAAGAAUCCUUUAGAAUUGGAAGCCGAAAUGGAACUGACGAAGAAAUCUAUAGUACUCCUUUGCUGAGGGCCAUGGAGAUAGCUUGCGCUGAGAACAAAAAUAGAGCUAUGAUUGAACACCAGUUACAUUGAAGGUCUACUCAGAAGAAGCAGACACAAUGCAGAAUAGAUAGGAUUUAAUCUUUUGUCAAAGGACAUCUUACCUUUGGGUAAGGUUGGAAAAGCAACUGUUCUCCAGAUUCUUCCUAACAACGAGAAAGCAGGCAAUACAGAUCUGCAAAGAUCUGCCAAUCUUAGCAAACAUGACCCCUCCACCACAGCAGGAGAAUCAACCCCAGAAAAAGUCUCAAAUUGGAAGAAAACUUUUUACACUACUCUUUUCAGAAAGAGAAUAAAAUCAAAGACACCUAGCAGUAUACUGUUCGAGCCAAUUGAUGUUGGAAAGUAUAGCCCAGAGAGUCGUCUCCUAAAAUCUGUCCCACCGGUCGGUGACAAUUUAAAAGAAAUCCAUUCAGAGCCUUCUUUGCUUACAGAACCCAGCAGCAGUGCUGUGUUAGAAAAUAACAAAAACCAGACUCAAGAAAAGGUCACUGAGGAACCCAUAAAAUUAAGUAAUGACCAGGAGUUUUUGAACUCAUGGAAAACAGGAAAACACAACUUAAGCAGACCAGACCAGCUACCAGGAGUUCAAAAGAGGUAUGAUGUCACAUUUUAUGAUGUUUCUUUUUAAUGGGCAUAUCACAUGUUUUGCUAAAUUUCUCAAUGGUUGAAGUUCAGCUCUCAGUAUUAUAUAAGAUAAUCUAAAAAGCAUUUACAUGACUUUGGAAUGAAGUGAUGUGUGUUUGCUCUCUAAGGCAAUUUAAAUAAAAUAUAAUGCGAAACCCUUUUUUCUAUACCAAUCUUUACCUUAUUCUGUGUUGAGAACACAUAUAUGGUCAACUUUUCCAGAACAGAUGAAACAGAUCUUGUCUCUGUCUUGGGGCAGAGGAGUGCCUAAGUGUUUGGAAUAUGUUGAGCUUCCUCCCUAACCUAACAAAGCAAAAAUUUUAAAUGAGCACUGUAGGGCAGGGAGGUAACCAAGUUUGCUUUUAGUUUUGUUAUUCUGAAACCAAAGUGAAGAGCAACGAUUUGUUAUGAAUGGUAAAACAUUGAUUCUUUUAGGUACAGUAUAAUGCCUUGUUUAUCCAAGUAGUAUCAGAUUUGGAUAGUAGAAGCUAAUUUUACAGAUCACUGAACCCUCACUCUGUCCUUUAAGCACUAGCUUUUUUUAUUUUGUUUUAACCACUUUAGAUAGAAACCUUGCUAAAAUCUAUUACACACUUCUCUGCUUUCUAAAGCUGAGUAUUCAAAAUGUAAUUUAACCUUUUCUUGAUGAGUAGUAGUCAUCAUUAUGAACAUCAAUUACUAUGCUGUAAUAUAAUGAUAUUUGCAGACCCACAAUCAUC